GAUGAACGCUGGCGGCGUGCCUAAUACAUGCAAGUCGAGCGAACGGACGAGAAGCUUGCUUCUCUGAUGUUAGCGGCGGACGGGUGAGUAACACGUGGAUAACCUACCUAUAAGACUGGGAUAACUUCGGGAAACCGGAGCUAAUACCGGAUGAUAUUUUGAACCGCAUGGUUCAAAAGUGAAAGACGGUCUUGCUGUCACUUAUAGAUGGAUCCGCGCUGCAUUAGCUAGUUGGUAAGGUAACGGCUUACCAAGGCAACGAUGCAUAGCCGACCUGAGAGGGGGAUCGGCCACACUGGAACGGAGACACGGUCCAGACUCCUACGGGAGGCAGCAGUAGGGAAUCUUCCGCAAUGGGCGAAAGCCUGACGGAGCAACGCCGCGUGAGUGAUGAAGGUCUUCGGAUCGUAAAACUCUGUUAUUAGGGAAGAACAUAUGUGUAAGUAACUGUGCACAUCUUGACGGUACCUAAUCAGAAAGCCACGGCUAACUACGUG
rnacentral:rRNA from 1 species